rnacentral:lncRNA from 1 species
AGACUACUACCUGGUAGUACUCACAUUCCCCCUGGCAAUGAAUAUUUAUAUAUUUUUUAUAUAAUUUCUAUUAAAAAAAACAUCUACAUAGUUAUUUUCCCUGGCAGUCUUCACACCUUCUAUCAUUUUUAUCUUAAAUCUCAAUCUACAUCACUUCUUCACAACCUUCCUGAAGAAUAACUGAACUACAUAUCUUUAUACAUAUCAAUAAUGUAAUUAUAAAAUCUUCAACAUAUUUAAAAUAGCAUGAAAAUCAAACUUCAACACAUUAAUAACUUGAUAAUCAAAUCGUCAACAUACUGACACAAUAUAUACUGAAGAAAGACAGUACAUUUCAGGGUAUUUUUGGCAACGUUAAUUUGAAAAACCAUUUUCAGAAAUGUAUUUUAAAGCAAGGGUUAAAUUUUACAUUAAAUGUUAUCCUUG